GUUAAAUUACUUUGUUUCUGUUUAUGCAGCCCUAGCCACACCUCCCCUGGCUAUGAUUGACAGAGCCUGCAUGAAAAAAAAAAAACUGGUUUCACUUUCAAACAGAUGUAAUUUACCUUAAAUAAUUGUAUCUCAAUCUCUAAAUUGAACUUUAAUCACAAACAGGAGGCUCUUGCAGGGUCUAGCAAGCUAUUAACAUAGCAGGGGAUAAGAAAAUCUUAAUUAAACAGAACUUGC